UACGUAGGGCGCAAGCGUUGUCCGGAAUUAUUGGGCGUAAAGAGCUCGUAGGCGGUUUGUCGCGUCUGCUGUGAAAACGCGAGGCUCAACCUCGCGCCUGCAGUGGGUACGGGCAGACUAGAGUGCGGUAGGGGAGAUUGGAAUUCCUGGUGUAGCGGUGGAAUGCGCAGAGUAUCAGGAGGAACACCGAUGGCGAAGGCCAGAUCUCUGGGCCGUAACUGGACGCUGAGGAGCGAAAGCGUGGGGAGCGAACAGG
rnacentral:rRNA from 1 species